rnacentral:rRNA from 1 species
AUUGAACGCUGGCGGCAUGCCUUACACAUGCAAGUCGAACGGCAGCACGGGAGCAAUCCUGGUGGCGAGUGGCGAACGGGUGAGUAAUAUAUCGGAACGUGCCCGGUCGUGGGGGAUAACGUAGCGAAAGCUACGCUAAUACCGCAUACGAUCUACGGAUGAAAGCGGGGGAUCGCAAGACCUCGCGCGAUUGGAGCGGCCGAUAUCAGAUUAGGUAGUUGGUGAGGUAAAGGCUCACCAAGCCGACGAUCUGUAGCUGGUCUGAGAGGACGACCAGCCACACUGGGACUGAGACACGGCCCAGACUCCGUACGGGAGGCAGCAGGUAGGGGUAAUUUUGGACAAGUGGGCGCAAGCCUGAUCCAGCAAUGCCGCGUGC